rnacentral:rRNA from 1 species
UACGGAGGGUGCGAGCGUUUGUUCGGAAUCACUGGGCGUAAAGGGCGUGUAGGCGGUCCGCUAAGUCUGAUGUGAAAGCCCGGGGCUCACCCCCGGAAGGGCAUUGGAAACUGACGGACUCGAGUCCCGAAGAGGAGGGUGGAAUUCCUGGUGUAGCGGUGAAAUGCGUAGAUAUCAGGAGGAACACCGGUGGCGAAGGCGGCCCUCUGGACGGUGACUGACGCUGGAGACGCGAAAGCGUGGGGAGCAAACAGG